rnacentral:rRNA from 1 species
AAUCAACGCUGGCGGCGUGCCUAACACAUGCAAGUCGAACGAGAAGGUGACUUCGGUCACUGGAUAGUGGCGUCCGGGUGAGUAACACGUAGGUAAUCUGCCUUCGGGUGGGGAAUAACGUCUCGAAAGAGACGCUAAUACCGCAUAAUGCAGCGGCACCUAAUGGUGAUUAGUUGUUAAAGCGGGGGAUCUUCGGACCUCGCGCCUGAAGAGGAGCCUGCGGCAGAUAGCUAGUUGGUGAGGUAAUGGCUCACCAAGGCUUCGAUCUGUAGCUGGUCUGAGAGGACGGCCAGCCACACUGGCACUGACACACGGGCCAGACUCCUACGGGAGGCAGCAGUGGGGAAUUUUGGGCAAUGGGCGAAAGCCUGACCCAGCAACGCCGCGUGAAGGAGGAAAU